GCCCUGCUAGCUCAGUUGGUAGAGCGCGUCACUAGUAUCCUAUAUACAUAUGACGAGGUCAAUAGUUCGAAUCUGUUGUGGGGCA
rnacentral:tRNA from 1 species